rnacentral:snRNA from 1 species
GAAUGUGAGGCUGAUCUGCCUGGGACAUCUGUCACCCCACUGAUCACCAGGGUUGAUUCAGCUGAUCUGGCUGGUUAGGUUGGGUGCCCCUUCCUUCCUCACAACUCCAUGUACUUGGUCCUCUGAUAGAGGAGGACUAUUUUUUGGUCAAAGGUAUAUGAGUAUCUGCAAUCCCUGCUAGAACCUUCAAACAAGCCUCAAGGUCUAAAUAAAGUAAAUUCAAUAAACUUUCCCCCAUAAGAAACUCAGAUAAGGGGUUGGUGUAGCUCAGUGCUACAACGCUUGCCC